ensembl:snRNA U1 U1 spliceosomal RNA
AUACUUACCUGGCAGGGCAUAUGCCAUGAGCAUGCAGGUGGUUUUCCCAGGGCGAGGCUCAUCCACUGCACUGCGGGCAUGCUGACGCCUGCAAUUUCCAAAAAUGUGGGGAAGUCGACUGCAUAAUUUGUGACAGUGGGGGACUGCGUCUGCGCUUUCCCUUG